AAAUCUAGUCGUAAUCGCGAUUCGAUUGAAGAGCGAAUUUCUCUUUUAUUCCGCAAAAAUGUGUAAAGUUACACAAAAACUCCGUUCAUCGUUAAAUGCACAAAAACUGACGAAAUGGAAGGCAGGAUAAAUGGUUUCUGCAUGAUAUUUACGAAAAAAUGGAGAGAUUGUUCCCGGCAUUGGCACUAUUUGGUUAAACAUCACCGUGUAUGAUUUCAGGAAGACUGCAGAUUAUAUAUAUUUUUUUAUCCUUGUCCCGAAUUCUCAUUUAAAUGCCGCACGGUGAGAACAUUGGCUGUGCACCUGGCCUGCGAACGCGCGUACCUGGUCUGCGAACGUGCGAACGUAGCCAGCGAAUUUUGAUCUUUUUCCCCGAAUGCUCAUUCAAACGUCGUACUGCGGAACGUAGUAAAUAUUAAAUCCUUAUUUUCAGUGUUUAAUUGCUUUAUCGCAUUUACAUGGAAAGCUUAAUUGUGAAAAUUUUAAUUAGGUUUUUAUUAUAUUUCUUGGGCUAAUACUUUCUUUAUUAUCAUUCAACUCUUAUUUACCUUCGUCUAUGCAGAUAUUAUGGUAAAAGUGCAGUUUCACUUUGGAAGAUUGAAAAUGUUUAAUAUAAAGUAAUACAAGGUAUAAUUUUUAAUCUGCUAGAAAGCUAAGCCCCUGUUUCAUAAUUUUUGUACCAGCUCCUUGAUUAUUUCUUGUAAUUUGCAACAUCCAGUGUUACACGUUGUAAUAGCGCAUUUAGACCAACCAAGCAAAUGCUCGUUCUUUGUUGACUUUAGUAGAAUUUAGUAAAAUUUUCUAAAAUAUAGUGUGUAUAUAUAUAACAAAUACAAUGGUGUAUAAAUAUCUUUGGUAGCCGCUGUAUAUUAAAUGCAGAUAAAAAGCGAUUGUGCGUGUGCCUGUAAAAGCUUAAAUUUAUAAUAAAAAAGAACGUUUAAUAAACUAUUAACUGAGAAA